AAAGACAGCGUUAAAGCUUCACUAUUUAUAACUUAAAUACCAAACACGACACAAAACCCGUGACUCACUAUUGAAUGACUCUAUAACUAUAUAGAAAACCUCAUGCUAGAACUAGUAACAAGAAGACAACCUUCUCCAAAAUGCAAGUAUAAGCCGCCACGAAUAAAUCACCGGCACUUACCGUAAUUGAACUAACAGCAACAACCGCACUAGAAAACUUUGCUACAUACAACGUUAACCUUACACUAGAACAUUAAUGGAAAGAUUUUAAAAAGGGGAAGGAACUCGGCAAAUAAUAACCCCGCCUGUUUACCAAAAACAUCGCUUCUCGAUACAACCAUGAGAAGUCCAGCCUGCCCAGUGAUCAAUUAAACGGCCGCGGUACCCUAACCGUGCAAAGGUAGCGCAAUCACCUGUUCUUUAAAUAAGGACUAGUAUGAAUGGCACCACGAGGGUUACACUGUCUCCCCCUUUUAAUCAGUGAAACUGAUCUUCCCGUGAAAAAGCGGGAAUACACAUAUAAGACGAGAAGACCCCAUGAAGCUUUAAAUUCAGAAUCAACUGCCUACAAUUACACCACCAUAAUCAGACAGACCUGAUUUCUGAUUUUCGGUUGGGGCAACCACGGAGAAAAACAAAUCCUCCAUGAUGAAAGGAGUUUUAUACUCCUUAUCCACGAGCUACAACUCUAAGAAUCAACAAUCUGACAAAAUUGACCCAAACUAUUUUGAUCAACGAACCAAGUUACUCUGGGGAUAACAGCGCAAUCUAUUUCAAGAGCCCAUAUCGACAAAUAGGUUUACGACCUCGAUGUUGGAUCGGGGCAUCCAAGUGGCGCAACCGCUACUAAUGGUUCGUUUGUUCAACGAUUAAA
rnacentral:rRNA from 1 species